rnacentral:rRNA from 1 species
UACGUAGGGUGCGAGCGUUGUCCGGAAUUACUGGGCGUAAAGAGCUCGUAGGUGGUUUGUCGCGUUGUUCGUGAAAACCGGGGGCUUAACCCUCGGCGUGCGGGCGAUACGGGCAGACUUGAGUACUGCAGGGGAGACUGGAAUUCUCGGUGUAGCGGUGAAAUGCGUAGAUAUCGAGAGGAACACCUGCGGCGAAGGCGGGUUGCUGGGCUGAUACUGACGCUGAGGCGCGAAAGCCAGGGGAGCGAACGGG